GCAGGGGUGCCGGAGUGGUCAAACGGGAUGGGCUUAGGACCCAUUGGCUUAGUGCCUCCGCAGGUUCGAACCCUGUCCCCUGCA
rnacentral:tRNA from 1 species